rnacentral:rRNA from 1 species
UUCGCAAUGCCCGAAAGGGUGACGAAGCGACGCCGCGUGGGUGAGGAAGGCCUUCGGGUUGUAAAACCCUGUCAGGAGUUAUGAAAUGUAAGUGCGCUAAUAUCGUGCUUAUUUGACAAAGGCUCCAAAGGAAGCCACGGCUAACUCUGUGCCAGCAGCCGCGGUAAUACAGAGGUGGCGAGCGUUGUUCGGAAUUAUUGGGCGUAAAGAGCACGUAGGUGGGUUUGCAAGUCAGAUGCGAAAGCCUUCUGUUCAACGGAAGAAUUGCAUCUGAAACUGUUAAUCUUGAGUAUAGGAGGGGAGAAUGGAACUUCUGGUGGAGCGGUGAAAUGCGUAGAUAUCAGAAGGAACGCCGGCGGCGAAAGCGAUUCUCUGGCCUAUUACUGACACUCAGUGUGCGAAAGCUAGGGGAGCAAACGGGAUUAGAUACCCCGGUAGUCCUAGCCGUAAACGACGGGCACUAAGUAGAGGGGUUUU